CGCGGCCUAUCAGCUUGUUGGUGAGGUAACGGCUCACCAAGGCAUCGACGGGUAGCUGGUCUGAGAGGACGAUCAGCCACACUGGGACUGAGACACGGCCCAGACUCCUACGGGAGGCAGCAGUAGGGAAUCUUGCGCAAUGGGCGAAAGCCUGACGCAGCAACGCCGCGUGGGGGAUGAAUGCCUUCGGGUUGUAAACCCCUUUCAGCAGGGACGAAAAUGACGGUACCUGCAGAAGAAGCUCCGGCCAACUACGUGCCAGCAGCCGCGGUAAUACGUAGGGAGCGAGCGUUGUCCGGAAUUAUUGGGCGUAAAGAGCUCGUAGGCGGUUCAGUAAGUCGGGUGUGAAAACUCAAGGCUCAACCUUGAGACGCCACUCGAUACUGCUGUGACUUGAGUCCGGUAGAGGAGUGUGGAAUUCCUGGUGUAGCGGUGAAAUGCGCAAAUAUCAGGAGGAACACCAGCGGCGAAGGCGGCACUCUGGGCCGGUACUGACGCUGAGGAGCGAAAGCAUGGGGAGCAAACAGGAUUAGAUACCCUGGUAGUCCAUGCCGUAAACGUUGGGCACUAGGUAUGGGAUCAUAUCAACGGAUUCCGUGCCGUAGCUAACGCAUUAAGUGCCCCGCCUGGGGAGUACGG
rnacentral:rRNA from 1 species